rfam:Gorilla gorilla gorilla genomic chromosome, chr8, whole genome shotgun sequence
GGAUAUGAGGGCGAUCUGGCUGCGACACCUGUCAUCCCAUUGAUCGCCAGGGUUGAUUCGGCUGAUCUGGCUGGCUAGGCGGGUGUCCCCUUCCUUCCUCACUGCUUCAUGUGCGUCCCUCCCGAAGCUGCAGCUCAGUCGAAGAGAACGACCAUACCCAGUAGAGGAGCUGGGCUUCCCUGGUAGAACCUCCAAACAAGCUCUCAAGGUCCAUUUGUAGGAGAACGUAGAGGUAGUCAAGCUUCCAAGAUUCCAGACACAUCCAAAUGAGGCGCUGCAUGUGGCAAUCUGCCUUUCUAG